GAAGGAGACUUGACUUUACUGUGCGCUUAAUUUCCUUUCCUGAAAUAUGGCAUGCAUUACUUCUCGUGAGAUAUGCAUAAACUGGGAUGAGUGCCAGGUCUUAAGAACUACAAUGGAUCCCUCAUGUGCAGGAUAUUUCAGGAAAACCUAUUCUGAAUCCAAACUGCUGCCAAGUAACAUCUCAGAAGAUCCCUCAUGGUCCUGCACUGGAGGCAGAAAAUGAGCUGUAGAGUUUAGUGCCAUCUGCCCAGCAAGCCUUCAGCUGUAACUUGAUAUCCUCUCCCACCAGUCUCUUUAAUUCUUCCUAUUAAAAUCAAUAGGUGCGUA